ACGGGUGAGUAAUGCCUAGGAAUCUGCCUGGUAGUGGGGGAUAACGUUCGGAAACGGACGCCAAUACCGCAUACGUCCUACGGGAGAAAGCAGGGGACCUUCGGGCCUUGCGCUAUCAGAUGAGCCUAGGUCGGAUUAGCUAGUUGGUGAGGUAAUGGCUCACCAAGGCAACGAUCCGUAACUGGUCUGAGAGGAUGAUCAGUCACACUGGAACUGAGACACGGUCCAGACUCCUACGGGAGGCAGCAGUGGGGAAUAUUGGACAAUGGGCGAAAGCCUGAUCCAGCCAUGCCGCGUGUGUGAAGAAGGUCUUCGGAUUGUAAAGCACUUUAAGUUGGGAGGAAGGGCAUUAACCUAAUACGUUAGUGUUUUGACGUUACCGACAGAAUAAGCACCGGCUAACUCUGUGCCAGCAGCCGCGGUAAUACAGAGGGUGCAAGCGUUAAUCGGAAUUACUGGGCGUAAAGCGCGCGUAGGUGGUUUGUUAAGUUGGAUGUGAAAUCCCCGGGCUCAACCUGGGAACUGCAUUCAAAACUGACUGACUAGAGUAUGGUAGAGGGUGGUGGAAUUUCCUGUGUAGCG
rnacentral:rRNA from 1 species